UACGUAGGGUGCGAGCGUUGUCCGGAAUUAUUGGGCGUAAAGAGCUCGUAGGCGGCCUGUUACGUCUGCUGUGAAAUCCCGGGGCUUAACCCCGGGCGUGCAGUGGAUACGGGCAGGCUGGAGGCAGGCAGGGGAGAACGGAAUUCCCGGUGUAGCGGUGAAAUGCGCAGAUAUCAGGAGGAACACCGAUGGCGAAGGCAGGUCUCUGGGCCACUACUGACGCUGAGAAGCGAAAGCAUGGGGAGCGAACAGG
rnacentral:rRNA from 1 species